rnacentral:misc_RNA from 1 species
GAUGAAGAACGUAGCGAAAUGCGAUAAGUAAUGCGAAUUGCAGAAUUCAGUGAAUCAUCGAAUCUUUGAACGCACAUUGCGCCCGCUAGUAUUCUGGCGGGCAUGCCUGUCUGAGCGUCAUUUCAACCCUCGCCCCCGGCUUUUGCUGGGAGCGGUGUUGGGGAUCGGCCGCCCGUCACUGCGAGGCCGGCCCCGAAAUAGAGUGGCGACCACGCCGUGUGCUCCUCUGCGUAGUAGUAAAUCACCUCGCAGGCGGACAGCGGUGCGGCCUGCCGUAAAACCCCCAACUCUUUCUGGUUGACCUCAGAUCAGGUAGGAAUACCCGCUGAACUUAAGCAUAUCAAUAAGCGGAGGA